ACCCGCUGAAUUUAAGCAUAUAAGUAAGCGGAGGACGAAACACUGAAGAGGAUUCCUUUAGUAAUGGCGAACGAACAAGGAACAGCUCUAUUUGAUAAUCCAAGCCAAUGGCUUAGACUUGUAUGUUGUGGUUGCAUAUCCAACGAAAGUGCGCAUGGAAGCUUUUGGGGCAAAGCAUCAAUGAAGGUGACAAUCUUGCGUGUCAUGUGCAAUCUUUUGUGCAAGGAAUGCUUCCUAGAUUCGCGUUCCUUGGAACUGGAGCGUAAAGUGGGUGGUAAAGUUUGUCCCAAGCUAAACAUUGGUCUGACACCAAUAGUAAACAAGUACCCUGAGGGAAAUGUGAAAAGGACUUUGGAAAGAAAGUUAAAAGUAUUUGAAAUUGCUGAAAAGAAAGCAAAAGGAAUAUACAUAAUAAGUGAGAUUGCUGUGUGUGUGAUGUGCAGCUGCUGGUGGUUCAAUUUGUCUCGCCGUUGUCUGCGUGCACAUGUGCAGCGUGUCUUGCUUAUGGUGUCUGCUUCAAGCACAACUGCCAUGAUGCCAAACACAAGGGAUUUGAUUGCUUGAUCAUUGUUUGUGAUUGUGCCUGGCAGUUGGCUUGGUGAUUGUGCCAACCUGCAAUCAUACUUUUGGUUGCAUGGAUGGUGUGUCUGAACAUCAACAUGUUUCUUUUGACCCGUCUUGAAACACGGACCAAGGAGUCUAAUGCAUGUGCAAGUUCAUGGGGGUCAAACCUGUAAUGCGCAAUGAACAUGCCAGAUGGGAUUUGUGCACCAAUAGCCAACCAAUCAAUCAGGACAGGUUUGAGUUUGAGCAUAUUUUUUAGGACCCGAAAGAUGGUGAACUAUGCUUGAGAAAGGUAAACUCAGGGGAAACUCUGAUGGAGGCUUGCAGCGGUACUGACGUGCAAAUCGUUCGUCAUACUUGGGUAUAGGGGCGAAAGACUAAUCGAACCAUCUAGUAGCUGGUUCCCUCUGAAGUUUCCCUCAGGAUAGCUGGAAUGGUGAAGUUUCAUCAUGUAAAGCGAAUGACUAGAGGAAUUGGGGGCGUGCUGUCCUUGACCUAUUCUCAAACUUUUAAUGGGUAAGCUCCAAUGGUUGCUUGAAUGAACCUUUGGGACAAAUGUGCAUUCUAUGUGGGUCAUUUUUGGUAAGCAGAAUUGGCGAUGAGGGAUGAACCUAACGUUGGGGCAAGGUGCUUAAUUGUUCGCUCAUCAGAUACCAUAAAGGGUGUUGGUUCAUUUAGACAGCAGGACGGUGGUCAUGGAAGUCGAAAUCCGCUAAGGAGUGUGUAACAACUCACCUGCCGAAUGGACUAGCCCUGAAAAUGGAUGGCGCUCAAGCAGAUAACCGAUACCCAACCACUGUGCCAAAUGGGUGAAAACAGUGAGUAGGAGGGCAAAGCAGCUUGUGUUGAAGUUUUUGGCGCAAGCCUGAGUGAAGCAGCUCUUAUUGCAGAUCUUGGUGGUAGUAGC
rnacentral:rRNA from 1 species